rnacentral:rRNA from 1 species
UACGUAGGGGGCAAGCGUUGUCCGGAAUCAUUGGGCGUAAAGCGCGUGUAGGCGGUUCGAUAAGUCUGCUGUGAAAGUCCAGGGCUCAACCCUGGGAUGCCGGUGGAUACUGUCGGGCUAGAGUGCGGAAGAGGCGAGUGGAAUUCCUGGUGUAGCGGUGAAAUGCGCAGAUAUCAGGAAGAACACCCGUGGCGAAGGCGGCUCUCUGGGACGGUACUGGACGCUGAGACGCGAAAGCGUGGGGAGCAAACAGG